GGUUAUGGCCAUGCCACCCUGAACAAGCCUGAUGUCUGAUCUCAGAAGCUAAGUAGGGUUGGGCCUGGUUAGUACUUGGAUGGGAGACAAUCAAACCCAAGCCCUUUAUUUA
rnacentral:rRNA from 1 species